rnacentral:rRNA from 1 species
UGGGGAAUCUUGGACAAUGGGCGCAAGCCUGAUCCAGCCAUGCCGCGUGAGUGAAGAAGGCCUUCGGGUUGUAAAGCUCUUUUGGCGGGGACGAUAAUGACGGUACCCGCAGAAUAAGCCCCGGCUAACUUCGUGCCAGCAGCCGCGGUAAUACGAAGGGGGCUAGCGUUGUUCGGAAUCACUGGGCGUAAAGCGCACGUAGGCGGAUUUGUUAGUCAGGGGUGAAAUCCCGGGGCUCAACCUCGGAACUGCCCUUGAUACUGCAAAUCUCGAGUCCGAUAGAGGUGAGUGGAAUUCCUAGUGUAGAGGUGAAAUUCGUAGAUAUUAGGAAGAACACCAGUGGCGAAGGCGGCUCACUGGAUCGGUACUGACGCUGAGGUGCGAAAGCGUGGGGAGCAAACAGGAUUAGAUACCCAUGUAGUCCCUGAGCGGGC